AUUGAACGCUGGCGGCAGGCUUAACACAUGCAAGUCGAGCGGGGAAAAGUAGCUUGCUACUGGACCUAGCGGCGGACGGGUGAGUAAUGCUUAGGAAUCUGCCUAUUAGUGGGGGACAACAUCUCGAAAGGGAUGCUAAUACCGCAUACGUCCUACGGGAGAAAGCAGGGGACCUUCGGGCCUUGCGCUAAUAGAUGAGCCUAAGUCGGAUUAGCUAGUUGGUGGGGUAAAGGCCUACCAAGGCGACGAUCUGUAGCGGGUCUGAGAGGAUGUACCGCCACACUGGGACAGAGACACGGCCCAGACUCCUACGGGAGGCAGCAGUGGGGAAUAUUGGACAAUGGGGGGAACCCUGAUCCAGCCAUGCCGCGUGUGUGAAGAAGGCCUUUUGGUUGUAAAGCACUCUAAGCGAGGAGGAGGCUACCGAGAUUAAUACUCUUGGAUAGUGGACGUUACUCGCAGAAUAAGCACCGGCUAACUCUGUGCCAGCCGCCGCCGUAAAAC
rnacentral:rRNA from 1 species